AACGAACGCUGGCGGCAGGCUUAACACAUGCAAGUCGAACGGGCGUAGCAAUACGUCAGUGGCGGACGGGUGAGUAACACGUGGGAAUAUGCCUUUCGGUUCGGAACAACUCGGGGAAACCCGUGCUAAUUCCGGAUACGCCCUUACGGGAAAGAUUAUCGCCGAAAGAUUAGCCCGCGUUGGAUUAGCUAGUUGGUGAGGUAAAGGCUCACCAAGGCGACGAUCCAUAGCUGGUUUGAGAGAACGACCAGCCACACUGGGACUGAGACACGGCCCAGACUCCUACGGGAGGCAGCAGUGGGGAAUCUUGGACAAUGGAGGAAACUCUGAUCCAGCCAUGCCGCGUGAGUGAUGAAGGCCUCGGUUGUAAAC
rnacentral:rRNA from 1 species